ACGGGUGAGUAAUGUCUGGGGAUCUGCCCGAUAGAGGGGGAUAACCACUGGAAACGGUGGCUAAUACCGCAUAACGUCGCAAGACCAAAGAGGGGGACCUUCGGGCCUCUCACUAUCGGAUGAACCCAGAUGGGAUUAGCUAGUAGGCGGGGUAACGGCCCACCUAGGCGACGAUCCCUAGCUGGUCUGAGAGGAUGACCAGCCACACUGGAACUGAGACACGGUCCAGACUCCUACGGGAGGCAGCAGUGGGGAAUAUUGCACAAUGGGCGCAAGCCUGAUGCAGCCAUGCCGCGUGUAUGAAGAAGGCCUUCGGGUUGUAAAGUACUUCCAGCGGGGAGGAAGGCGAUGUGGUUAAUAACCGCAUUGAUUGACGUUACCCGCAGAAGAAGCACCGGCUAACUCCGUGCCAGCAGCCGCGGUAAUACGGAGGGUGCAAGCGUUAAUCGGAAUUACUGGGCGUAAAGCGCACGCAGGCGGUCUGUUAAGUCAGAUGUGAAAUCCCCGGGCUUAACCUGGGAACUGCAUUUGAAACUGGCAGGCUUGAGUCUCGUAGAGGGGGGUAGAAUUCCAGGUGUAGCG
rnacentral:rRNA from 1 species